CCUACGGGACGCAGCAGUGGGGAAUAUUGCACAAUGGGCGCAAGCCUGAUGCAGCCAUGCCGCGUGUAUGAAGAAGGCCUUCGGGUUGUAAAGUACUUUCAGCGGGGAGGAAGGCGUUGAUGCUAAUAUCAUCAACGAUUGACGUUACCAACAGAAGAAGCACCGGCUAACUCCGUGCCAGCAGCCGCGGUAAUACGGAGGGUGCAAGCGUUAAUCGGAAUUACUGGGCGUAAAGCGCACGCAGGCGGUUGAUUAAGUUAGAUGUGAAAUCCCCGGGCUUAACCUGGGAAUGGCAUCUAAGACUGGUCAGCUAGAGUCUUGUAGAGGGGGGUAGAAUUCCAUGUGUAGCGGUGAAAUGCGUAGAGAUGUGGAGGAAUACCGGUGGCGAAGGCGGCCCCCUGGACAAAGACUGACGCUCAGGUGCGAAAGCGUGGGGAGCAAACAGGAUUAGAUACCCCCGUAGUC
rnacentral:rRNA from 1 species